AUUGAACGCUGGCGGCAGGGCUAACACAUGCAAGUCGAGCGAGCGGCGGACGGGUGAGUAAUGUAUGGGGACUGCCCGAUAGAGGGGGAUAACUACUGGAAACGGUGGCUAAUACCGCAUACUAUCGGAUAACCCAUAUGGGAUUAGCUAGUAGGUGGGGUAAAGGCUCACCUAGGCGACGAUCUCUAGCUGGUCUGAGAGGAUGCUCAGCCACAAUGGGACUGAGACACGGCCCAGAAGCCUACGGAGGCAGCAGGGGGGAAUAUUGCACAAUGGGCGCAAGCCUGAUGCAGCCAUGCCGCGUGUAUGAAGAAGGCCUGCGGGUUGUAAAGUACUUUCAGUGGGGAGGCGUUACCGACAGAAGAAGCACCGGCUAACUCCGUGCCAGCAGCCGCGGUAAUUC
rnacentral:rRNA from 1 species